rnacentral:lncRNA from 1 species
GAGACACACUACAACAGGAGAGGGAGCAAGCGCGAGAGGAUAUUAGAAGAGAGGCUUGUCUCCAAGAUAUGGAAGGAAGUGAGAAAUGACAGGGCUGCAAGCUUUGUAUGUAGGAGCCCGGCAGGGCGGGGGAGCGGCGAGGAGAGCCAAGUGGAUUCUCAGAAAAGGGGGGAAGCCAUCGAAGAGCUAAAGGUGAUUAGAGGGGGAUAUUGAUUUCUUAUUCUGCCAGAGAUUUAAGCAGGCAUGCGAGGAAUCUGCACCAUGGUUGGCAAAAAGAGACCCGUUGCCUCCUGUAACCAGACACUCAGGCUUUCCAGGAGCCCAGGGAGCAAGCCGAGAAGAAAGGGGGCAGUGUGGUCUAGGAAAAUUCAACUUGUCGCUGAUUUGUGCCUGAUGCCUGCUGUCCGUCAGCAGCCUCCCUUACAAUCUUUUUUUCUCUCUCUCCUUUUUUUUUCCUUGCCUUCUCCUUCUUCACUGAAGCCUAGGGGAGCCAGUAAAGAUUAAAUGUGCUUCUCAAAGGCAGCCACUUCAUGCUGCUAUGUCGAAAGGGCCAUUAUUAUUAUUAUAUUUUAAUGGUAAAAGAGAAAAGGAGAGAGGUUGAGCGAGCGAGAGAGAAGCUAGGUGUGAUGAUGACAGACUAGCUUUUCUGAGAGGAAAAGGAAAAGGGAAGGGAGAGAAAAAGGAGAGCCUCUGAGCUCAACGGAGGAUUGUGCCUGAGAAGAACCCACAGAGGAGGCUGUGCGGGCCCCGCUCCGCUUCGAAUGGAUACAGUUAAGCUAAUGAUCUCGAGAGGAUAUCGUCCUGGAUAAGGGUGGAGCCUACGCCCAAAAACAAGAUUACCUGAAAGAGAAAAGAAAGGGGGAAAACACACAGAGAUACAGUCGGGGAGGCCACAUGAAGAUGGAGGCAGAGACAGGAGUGAUGAGCCUGCAAGCCAAGGAAUGCCAAGGGCUGCCAGCAGCCAUGAGAAGCUGAGAGACACAGAGAACGAGUCCUCUGCCAGAGCCUCCAGAAGGAACUAACCCUGUCAAUACCUUGAUUUCGGACUUCUGGACUCCAGAACUAUAACCCUCCUUCCUCCACCUCACAAAAACUCACAAGCUGCAACCCUUCUGAUGUCCACUCCCACACAAACCAGCUUCAGGCCUUUUUCAAGCUUGCUUGGAGAAUACUUCUGAGACUUUCCAAGAGUGCAGGAAAUUCUACCCCCCAAGUAUGGCACCUUGGCAUGCUGAGUAUUUUAAGCUGAAGGAAACAGAGAAAACCACAGAAGCAGAAAGGUCUUUCUGACCUCUCUUGAAGACCCUCAUGUGACAGGUGUCCUGCCCUACAUCCAGAGAGAAGGAAUGUUCCACAGACAGACUAAGAAGAAUCUGAAGAAUCAGGCCUUACUAAGUGCCCUCCAGUGGAUGCUGUGGGGCACCACCUCCUUGAGGACCAAGGCACUCCAGCUGCCAGGAAUUUGGCUGCUAACCUCACACAGCUGAGCCUUCCAUGAAAAUUGCUCUCUGCCAAAGAGAACUUCCUAGUCCAAGGUCAUGUCUACUCUCCAGAGAUGUGACUGGAGUGAUUUGCACCCGGAUGCCUAGACUCGCCAUCUGCUCAAAGACUGCUCAGAAAGCCCUCCCAUGCAUUCCCCUGCUGCAUACCAGCCCACUCUGCCUGCAGCUGCUGUCUGCAGGACUUCAUAUCUAUGCCACACUGUGUAAAAGCUGUGCUUCAAGAAAUCACAAAAACAUUUUCCUGCACCUACUACACAGCCUGAGUGCGGCAUAAGUUGACCUUGCUUGCUAAGAAAUGGGGCAAGAAAUGCUUUUUUGUGUGUGUCAUGUCUGUUUGUUUUUCAAUUAAGAGAGGAAAGCAUUAGGCAGAUGGAAUGUACAUGUGAGGAUGAGGAGACAGAAAACAAGUAGCCCUUUCCAUCAAGAUAGAGGGUUUUCUGGGGUUGCUGGCUAUUGAAUGUCACUCCUGAUUUCUCUUUCCAAGGCACUGUACCACCAGCCUACUGAGAUUGUGUGGGAGCUUUCAUGGGGGUUGUAUUUCACUGAUGAAAAUAAAUUUUUUGCAUAAUGUG